rnacentral:lncRNA from 1 species
UGCCCAAGAAACUCACAUGCUGUGAGUGACUACAAAGGAAUUCCAGUCCCAGCCUGAACUGAAAGCCAGGGAGGACCCUUCCCUGCCAACUCGCCUGCCCUAAGCACAGAGCGUGGCUGUGCGAAUUGCAGACUUGGUGGAUGACGGCUGUGGGGAGUUAGAGAGAGCCGCAGCCUGAAAGCCCAACCUCAGGGAAGUGAUUACACCCAUCAAGACCGACCACUCAAUGGACGGACAAACCAUCAAUAAACAUUAUGUUUUGCCAAGAGGAACUAAUGACUUGGGAAAUACAUACAAAAAUAAAUUUAAAAAACACCACAUUCGAAACUGAAAGGUUAGGAUAACAUCAACUAUAAAAAUAUGAAGACUAUGCACAAGAAACUGCCAAUUGCCAGAAUAAAUAUCACUGGGUGAUAGGAUUCUGAAUAUUCUUUAUGCUGUUCAGUAAUUCCUGAAUUUUUAACAAAGGUCAUUUUCUGGUUUUAUACAAAACUAGAAAGGUCACUAAAAAUUCACAGGAGAGAUAACCUAGUGAUUAAGAGCAGGGAUCUAAGCUGGCUGAGCCUUCGACGCCAAUCCCCUGUUGCUCCCUGGCUCUCAGACCUCAGAUGAGGUCAGCUCGGCUUCCUUGUCUGCAAAAUUAAUAACCACACCUGCCUCAUAAGGUUUCUCAAGAACUGAGCAAGAUGGUGCCUGCACAGUGCUGGGUAGAGUCUGUGCACAUGAGCCCAGAACAUACGUGAGGACUGCUGUUUGUAUUAACAUGGGAAAUGCUUAUGUUACUCUGUUGUCGCGUGACAAACCAGGACCCAGAAUCUUCUAUAGAACAUGCUCUCAACUGGA